GUAUCACAUCAAGUAGUCAAUGUUUAUCCAAAUUGACAUUUGAUUUGCUGUACGUAUCAAAAAGUUGAUGGAGGUUUGCAAGGCUCAGGAAGAUUUGUUUUUCUGGGCCAUUUCGCCCAAGGACACCGGCGAGUAUGAAAAAUUUAGAAAGAUUUGAAACCAUCCGAAUGAAAAGGAAGGAACUGUUACGGAUAGAAAACACACACUGGAUGUUUCUUCCUAAGGAUACGGAACCUCGAACUUCAAAUCUUACUGAUACGGUGCCUCCAUUUCCGUUGAAAAAUUGUCAGCCAAGAAAGUUUGAACUGCUAUCGUUUCAUGAAAAAUUCUGUGAUCAGAAGUGGUCAGAAGUGGUCAAGUGCAAUGUUUCGACAGGAUUUCCAUAGUUUCAGCUAAAUCGGUGCUGCUGGAUAUUUUUGGCACGGGAAUCUGUCUUCUUGAAGGAUUAAUGAGAGAGAACUUCCUAU